AUGCAAACAGUAGCUUCUCAGAUACAGGAACCAAGGGUAAUGAAGUAAUAAAGUCUGUGUGGCACGUGUGCUAAUUAUGGUCACUAUACCAGUGCAGGGAUGUUUGAACGGAAUUAGCCUGAUAAACAAUUUAGUUCUCUAAAUAGGAAGUCCACUUUAUUGCUUUGUAGUCAGCGGACGGAAUGCACCUAAUGUCUGUGGAAUAAGAUAAGUUACCUAUUAACAUAUUAGCAUUACUGAUCAUUUAAGAUAUUGUGAUUGCUUUUCAUUGAAGCACAGAUGGAAUGAGA